UACACGUGCAAACAGAGACACAGAGACGCAGAGAUUGGUUUUAUUGCUGAGUUGGGGAGACAGAAUCAGACAGUGACCACAUGGGAAGUGAAGAGAGGCUUGGGAAGAAAAGAUCUCUGGUCAUGUUUGUCUCCUUCAGGAACCCCUUAAGAAAUGUGACAGGGGCAAUGGUGGCUUUCUCCUUUGGAACUUUAGGGGCAAACAUACCGGGCUCUGCGUUAACUUGCCUAUGUCAGCAAAAAUUCCAAGGCGAAAUGGCAUUUUAUGUGACAUUUUCUAGAAGCUCCAGAAACGGCUGCCUGAUUUCCUGUGCUUCGGCUUUUCUCCUUAUAUUUCCAAGGUUCGGGCCCAGAAGCUGGCUUCCUUCCGGGUGGGAUAUCCUGAUUGGAAGUUAAUUCUGACACUGGACUCUGCUCUUUCCUUGGAAUCAAACUGAUACAAAUUCUUUAAAGGGUGUGAUGCCUACACGUGCUAGUUUGCACACACAAUGCACUGGACAUGUGAUCCAGGUUAGUCAUCCAUGGUGACUUCAGAGUUCCAGGGCAGGGGGAGAGGAAAAAGUCUGGGAAACUUGGAAGUUCUUCCUGGCAUGACUGGAAGUGUAAGAUGUGACAUCCUGGCUCCAAUCCAGUGCAAAGGGGAAUUUGAAGAGCAGCUCACAUAUUUGUAAUUUUCCAGCCUCGGGCACAUACUUCCUCUCCUGACCAUUUGUGUUCCUUCAGAUUUUACAGAGAGAUCCGCCAGUUUUCUGAAAGAGAUGCCAGUGCAGCAGAGGACCACCGCAGGAAACUUUAGAGAGCAAAGAGGCCUUGAGACGGUCUUUGAACAGAAUAAUGGUUUGUAGAUUCAGCAACCAACCAUCUUGACCCAUGCAAGUGGAUGAUUCUUGCAAGAUCUGGGGGAUAACUUGUUAAAAUGAAUAAAAAAAUAAAUUACC